rnacentral:rRNA from 1 species
UGGAGGAAUACCCGUGGCGAAGGCGGCCCCCUGGACGAAGACUGACGCUCAGGUGCGAAAGCGUGGGGAGCAAACAGGAUUAGAUACCCUGGUAGUUCACGCCUGUAAACGAUGUCGACUUGGAGGUUGUGCCCUUGAGGCGUGGCUUCCGGAGCUAAAGCGUUACAGUUGACCGCCCGGGUAGUCCGGCUGCGAAGGUUAAAAGUCACAAUGGAAUUGACGCGAGCCCGCACAAGCGGUGGAGCAUGCUGGUUUAUUUCGGUGCAACGCGAAGAACCUUACCUGGUCUUGACAU